CCUACGGGAGGCAGCAGUGAGGAAUAUUGGUCAAUGGGCGGGAGCCUGAACCAGCCAAGUCGCGUGAGGGAAGACGGUCCUAUGGAUUGUAAACCUCUUUAGGCGGGGAGCAAUGCCGGGCACGCGUGCCCGGAGGGAGAGUACCCGCAGAAUAAGCAUCGGCAAACUCCGUGCCAGCAGCCGCGGUAAUACGGAGGAUGCGAGCGUUAUCCGGAUUUAUGGGGUUAAAAGGGUGCGUAGGCGGAUUUUUCAGUCUGCGGUAAAAUGUCCGGGCUCAACCCGGGCCGGCCGUUGAAACUGGGGAUCUUGAGUGGGCGAGAAGUAUGCGGAAUGCGUGGUGUAGCGGUGAAAUGCAUAGAUAUCACGCAGAACUCCGAUUGCGAAGGCAGCAUACCGGCGCCCGACUGACGCUGAGGCACGAAAGCGUGGGGAUCGAACAGGAUUAGAUACCCGUGUAGUC
rnacentral:rRNA from 1 species